GACCGGGCGGUUUCCCUCCCCGCCACUCGGUCGCCCAGGAAAUCUGUCGCUUGGCCACCUGCCGGGGGGAGGGGGGGGACACCGGCCCGGCUCGCGCCACUCGGCUCCGUCCCUGGCUCGUCCCUGGCUCGUCCCGGGUUCGCUCUUCCGGACCCCGGCGUCCGCGCCGUGACACCCGCCUCCUGGCCCCGGCUGCGGCCGACCAGGCCACCCCUGGCCGGGCAUUACGCGCUGAAUCCCAAAGCCCAGAACCAUCCAGGGGCCAGCGAUUAUGAUCUGUCCCUGAGUUGGGGACAGGUGAGGCUAGCCACCUGUGACCAACAAAGACUAAUCAGACCCUAAAAAGAAGGAAGCCAUUAAGGAUGUUAUCACCAGUCCUUCCUCAAAGCAAGACGUCACAAGAAUGCUAAGGCCACCAGCUCCCUGGUCAGUUCUAAAUAAAACAGUCAGUGGAGGCCCUGGCAACCCUUUCCGGAGCCCGCUCACUCCUGAGAACUUCUUCUGUAUCCUUGCUUAAUAAACUUCUGUCGCUUUACUCAC